GGAUGACGAUGGCGACGUUGGCGAUGUCCAGGAGCCAGUAGGGGUUGUAGAAGCCAAAGCCGGUGAGCAGGUUCCCUGGCGCCAUGUCACCGAAGGCGGCGUAGCCCAUGCACCCACAGAGCAUGUAGAAGAUCGUAGUGGAUGAUGGAGUAGGAGUAAGCGAAUGCGAUGUCGCCGAAGGCUUGAAAGCUGCGCCAUAUCUUGUCCAUCUCGCUUACAGUGCCGAUGCUGAUCCCAGUGAGACUUCCUCUGAUGCCUCCAUUUUCUGUUGAUGGCUUGGUGCAGUGUUUACUGAUAACUUGGACGAUGCCGAGACUGAGUCCGAUGGCGGAGUAGGUGAAGGACAUGAUGGCAGCGACGAUGGAGAGCCACCAAAUCUGGUCGAAGUCUGGAAUCUGAGAGAAGAGGAUCUCAACGAUCGCAAAGAUGAUCAUGUAAGGAUUGUUGCUCACUUGGCAUGGGCUGUCAUCCCCAUUUUUGUGGAAACAGUUGGACCUCUUGACUGCCCUGCUCCAUAAACAAAACCAACAUCAAAAAUCCAAUUUUAACAAUGGAUUAAGGAUGAGGUACUAUUUAUAUGCUCCACUUACACCAUGCUAAUGGAAGCAGCAAUUGUGUAUCCGAUCGCAACACCUACGAUGUUGAGGUACUGCAGGUUUGAAGUAUUGGACUUACUGAGAUUAGCUUGGACAGCAUCCAUAUAGGUGUAGUUCCGCUUUCCAGAGAUGGGAUCACCAGAGCGGUAGCAGUCACCGAGGAGAGCAGAAGUGUAGUAGGUAACAAACGAGAAGAGUAACAUGACGGCGGGACCAGCAACCCAUCCAAGCUGACCAAUUGCCCAGGCCAAGGAGAGGACGCCGGAACCAAUCACCGCCGUAAUGAUGUGUGCACUUGCAGUCCAAACAGUCCCUGUAAAGCCUCAAACUUAGCCAAUAAUUUGAGAAGAGUUGAAAUUUUGGAAGAACAUUUAAAUUACCAGUUCUCUUGAGCCGCCCAUCAUCAUCGAAGCAUUUGCUGGGUUCCUGUGGCAGGCCUUGUUCUAGUGCAGCUUGGUGAUAGUAAUUUGCGGUGCCAAUAUCAGGCAUCUUAAUCCAAAACAAGAAUUCAAUUCAGAGAAACAACAGAGUAUGGAUAGAUAACAUAGGAAUUGCUCAACUAACAAAAGGCACCAACGACAUAAAUUGAACAUUUGAACUCACCUUCUGCAUUGAGAUUAUGAUCACCUUCUACUCAAGGAAGAUUUCAGGUGGUGUUGAGUAUAGGGGGGCCUUCAACGUUGGCUUUAUAGGGCACUGGCAGUGUGGUCUUUACACUUUGGAGGAAAAAGAAUGGCUGAACAAUGGUGCUCAGAGGCUCAGAGAAUCUGCUUACCCAUAUAUGAAUGGUCUGUAUAUUGUUUCUUAUUAAAGAAUCAGGAAUACCGAACCCUAGAAAUGCCUUUCAGAUGAGAAUCUUUGACCAUCUUUUUUUGUCUCCAUAAUUUAAUGGUUGAUUGCUUUUGCAGAAUUUCUUAUUAGGAACUUGCAAAAUUUGUCAUCUUGAUUAUGCUUCAGCCAAUAACUAAUUCUUUUUCAUACUCAUUGAAGGUACUUAGACUUGGGGGUUCAUAACUCAAAAUCCCUUCAUUCAAUCAGCAAACUAAAAUGAAAGGAAGGUUUUAAGAAACAAGAUGGCAAAAUAUGUUUGCACUACGAGACUAUUAACACGCUUUGCUUCAAGUUUCGUCGCUUCUUGCCAGAGUAGUGUACCUUAACCCAAGCAACACUGACACUGUCAUUCUAACGAGCAUAGGAUGGCCAUGAAGAUGAGGGUGAAAAAAGACUAACAAAUAACCAUUGCAUUUUAAGUCUUCAUGAGGUAAGUUCAUGUAGGAGGAUGAUAUACAAUGGUAUUUUCUUGGUAUUGAAUGAUAAAUCCUGUGAACCAAAUACCAUAUAAAAACUGU